rnacentral:rRNA from 1 species
CCUACGGGCGGCAGCAGUCGAGAAUCAUUCACAAUGGGGGAAACCCUGAUGGUGCGACGCCGCGUGGGGGAAUGAAGGUCUUCGGAUUGUAAACCCCUGUCAUGUGGGCGCAAAUUAAAAAGAUAGUACCACACGAGGAAGAGACGGCUAACUCUGUGCCAGCAGCCGCGGUAAUACAGAGGUCUCAAGCGUUGUUCGGAAUCACUGGGCGUAAAGCGUGCGUAGGCUGUUUCGUAAGUCGUGUGUGAAAGGCGCGGGCUCAACCCGCGGACGGCACAUGAUACUGCGAGACUAGAGUAAUGGAGGGGGAACCGGAAUUCUCGGUGUAGCAGUGAAAUGCGUAGAUAUCGAGAGGAACACUCGUGGCGAAGGCGGGUUCCUGGACAUUAACUGACGCUGAGGCACGAAGGCCAGGGGAGCGAAAGGGAUUAGAUACCCCAGUAGUC